UUACGGCCAUAUCCCCUUGAAACACCGGUUUCCGUACGUUCACCUAAGUUAAGCAACCUUGAGCCUGGUCAGUACCUAGAUGGGUGACCGCUUGGAAAUACCAGAUACUGU